GUUUGAUCCUGGCUCAGAGCGAACGCUGGCGGCGUGCUUAACACAUGCAAGUCGAACGCGCAGUUCCCUGUAGCAAUACAGGGGAUGGGCGCGUGGCGAACGGGUGCGUAACACGUGGAUAACCUUCCUUCAGGUGGGGAAUAACCUCGCGAAAGCGAGGCUAAUACCGCAUAACAUGACGAUGGCUCAUGCUGUUGUCUUCAAAGCCGCAAGGCGCCAGAAGAGGGAUCCGCGGCCGAUUAGCUUGUUGGCGAGGUAAUGGCUCACCAAGGCAAUGAUCGGUAGCCGGUCUGAGAGGACGAUCGGCCACACUGGAACUGAGACACGGUCCAGACUCCUACGGGAGGCAGCAGUGGGGAAUCUUGCGCAAUGGACGAAAGUCUGACGCAGCAACGCCGCGUGGGGGAUGAAGCUUCUCGGAGUGUAAA
rnacentral:rRNA from 1 species